AAUGUUUAUGUUGAUGUGAGAGCUCUUAGAAAUGAUCGAGUUACUUUGGUGGAGAAAGGUAGUCCACAUGGACUGUGUAUGAUGGAAUCUGGCAAGAUUCUUCCAGGUGUGAAAGUGGUCAUUGCACAUCCUGAGACCAAAGGACA